rnacentral:rRNA from 1 species
UUCUGAUCUUGCUGAGGGGAUCAUU